rnacentral:rRNA from 1 species
GACGAACGCUGGCGGCGUGCCUAAUACAUGCAAGUCGAGCGCAGGAAACUGACGGAACUCUUCGAAGGGAAGGCAGCGGAAUGAGCGGCGGACGGGUGAGUAACACGUAAGGAACCUGCCUCAAGGAUUGGGAUAACUCCGAGAAAUCGGAGCUAAUACCGGAUAGUUCAACGGACCGCAUGGUCCGCUGAUGAAAGGCGCUUCGGCGUCACCUUGAGAUGGCCUUGCGGUGCAUUAGCUAGUUGGUGGGGUAACGGCCCACCAAGGCGACGAGGCAUAGCCGGCCUGAGGGGGUGAUCGGACACACUGGGACUGAGACACGGCCCAGACUCCUACGGGAGGCAGCAGUAGGGAAUCUUCCACAAUGGACGAAAGUCUGAUGGAGCAACGCCGCGUGAGUGAUGAAGGUUUUCGGAUCGUAAAACUCUGUUGUAAGGGAAGAACACGUACGAGAGGGAAUGCUCGUACCUUGACGGUACCAUACGAGAAAGCCACGGCUAACUACGUGCCAGCCGCCGCGGUAACAC